rnacentral:lncRNA from 1 species
CGGAUCCGCUCACGGGCUGAGUUCGUUGGUGGCGCGCGCGCCGCUGUGUCCGCGCCGGGCCCUCGCCUCACAGCUCUCCGCCUUGCCCGUGGCCACCCAGGUGCCCAUUUUGAAAACCAUUAGAAGAUAUUCUGCCACCCUGUUGGAUUACUUUGUAUACAGCUCAGCAUGUCAUUUUGCCCUGGAUUUUAUACGGUGGCCAUGAUUUAAUUCCCACUUCCUAUUUCUAUGUAUUAGUGAAGCAUUGGAGCUCUUACAAGCUGCUUUUACUUGCCUGGAAACUGAUCUUGAAUCCAUUCUCAAAAGGACUAGACGUUACUAGCAAUGAGCUCCCAAAGCCAUCCAGAGCUACUUUUGCGGAGAUGCAAAUUUUAUUUACAUUUUGAAAUGCUGAAUGUUUGAUAAUUAAAGAAUAUUGAAGUUUAAGAAUGAGCUGCCUAUCUGAUAUGGAAAAAUCUGCAGCAGGAUCAUUAAAACUGAGAGGAUACGAAGAGCAGAAAGCUUCAUGAUCGCAGAACACUGGGAAGAUGAGUUAGCAAGUCAUGUGCUGUGAUUUGCUAGAUUAAUAAGUACUUUUGUAUGGCAUUUUAUCUGCUGAGUGUAAGAAGCUACUCUCCUUUCAUGUUCCAUGGCUCAAUGAGGCAUGGAAGACCAUUUCAUGUGGUAUACAUAAGAGCUUUCCCUGUUGUUCUCAAAUGUUUUGCACUAUAAAAUAAAUAUUUUAUGUGUUCUCUUUUAAAGAUUAAA